AGUGAACGCUGGCGGUAGGCCUAACACAUGCAAGUCGAACGGCAGCACAGUAAGAGCUUGCUCUUACGGGUGGCGAGUGGCGGACGGGUGAGGAAUACAUCGGAAUCUACUUUUUCGUGGGGGAUAACGUAGGGAAACUUACGCUAAUGCCGCAUACGACCUACGGGUGAAAGCAGGGGAUCUUCGGACCUUGCGCGAUUGAAUGAGCCGAUGUCGGAUUAGCUAGUUGGCGGGGUAAAGGCCCACCAAGGCGACGAUCCGUAGCUGGUCUGAGAGGAUGAUCAGCCACACUGGAACUGAGACACGGUCCAGACUCCUACGGGAGGCAGCAGUGGGGAAUAUUGGACAAUGGGCGCAAGCCUGAUCCAGCCAUACCGUGUGGGUGAAGAAGGCCUUCGGGUUGUAAAGCCCUUUUGUUGGGAAAGAAAAGCAGCAGGUUAAUACCCCGCUGUUCUGACGGUACCCAAAGAAUAAGCACCGGCUAACUUCGUG
rnacentral:rRNA from 1 species